rnacentral:lncRNA from 1 species
CUCUUCUUGGGUCUGCACACUCUCUUCUCCUCCACAAAACCCUAGCUCAUCACCACCCCUUCUCCUCCACCAUAUCUCCUCCUCCUCACAGCCGCCACCCUCUCACCGGCGGCGCUCUCCCACCGACGCCACCCUCACGCCGUCGUUCUCCACCUCCCAGUCACGAUCAGAUGCUGUAAUCAAGAAGCGAGCCGAGUCACAACAGAUGCUGUAAUCAAGAAGAGGCCCACGAAACUCAACAUAAAUCAAAUCCAUUCACUCGAUCAGGUAACUCACUACCAUCAUUCACCUUCGUGUUGCCCUGAUCUGGAUCUGAUCGAGUUGCCCUAAUCUGGAUCUGAUUGAGUUCUCUCGUGGUUCCCAAACGAAAGAGGCCUCUUCUACCUUCUUCAACACUUCCACCCAAGUUAACCAUCAUCAUCAUCUUCUAUCUCAGAACUCGUCUAAGUCAAUGAGUGUGCUAGAUUGCCGUUAUCUUGAACGAACGAUCCAAGAACUCUUGAACCAUUAGGUAGUGAAACCGGUCCGGCCUGUGGAGGAGGCAAUGACGUGGCAGUAGAAGCUCCUACUUGUUGGGAGUGCGGCGGAUCUUGAUUGGAACUCGGUUGCAUUGUUGAUGGCCCGUCUAUAACACAAGAGCCUGAAAUGCUCAUAUUAUUUGACGUGAACGAUAAAGGCGAUGCAGGUAAUCGCGUAUAUGAUUCGUUGUUGGCACUUGCGCUUCUUUGGAGACGACCUCCUGAAAGCCCCGAGUUAGCAUCAGUUACCAAUGAGCUUGCUCCAGUUAUCUCCCCAGACACAGGCACCAUAUUCGAACACGUGUUUCCAGGAAUUGAAUUUCCCAAAUGUGAAUUCCCAAAAGCUUGAGACUGCAUAUCGCCUUGGAAGAAGAUGCCAGAACUUGAUGACGAAUGUACCAUCCCAACAUUCGCCUGAGAAGGCCCCAUUCACGAUAGAGCCACUUGCUGGCUCGAAUCAAGCGCCAGUGCUUUUAGUUAUCCUUUCAAUCAACACCGAUUUUUUGGCUUUAACCCGGCGCUAGAAAUUUACAUCAACAAACUAAUCGAUGUUCGUAAUUAGCAAUUCCAACCACAAAAUCAAGUCUGAGUCAAAACUGUAAGCCUGGAAU